GCAGUGAGGGGUGAGCUGAUGUUCCAAAAAUCCGGUCCUGAAUAACCUAAAAUGAGAGAGAAGCUGAGCAGAGCGAGUGGCCUGUGUGACCAUGGCCACACCUCCCCUUCCAGGCUCUGGGGAGGGUGGCAGCUGCAUCACCAGACCCCUGGGGUCAGAAGCUGAGUCUAGAGUAGGGGGCACUCCAUGAUGUUGCUCCAGAGGUGGGAGAUGGUGGCAGGGUCACUGCUUCCCCUUCCUUCCUCACUCAUGACAGAUGUCACUAAUGGGUCAUGACAUUCUUUCAGGACUCAGAAUCCCUCCCAACAUAGCAUCCCAGGCAGCCAUCGGCGGUCAACUGGCAUUGGUGCAUGCUUUGACAUCUAUUUGCCACAGCGGUCUUCUCUAAAGAUGGGGAAACUGAGGCCAAGAUUGGAGAAGAAACUUGCCCCAAAUCUCACAGCCAAGUCUCAGAUUCAUCCCAGGACCAUCUUCAAGGAAGGGGGGGGGGUUCCCCAAACACUGUGGCAGAGAAGUAUGGAGAGGUGACAGGGAUGAAGCAGGAGUCAAGAGCCAGGACCCCCAUCAGAGCUGCUGCUUUAGGGGUCUUCCAGGGGACCCCAGCCUUCUUUGUCCUCCCUCCAUGCUUAAGUGUCCACCAGGCCCUCCUUGGAAGAAGCCACAAGUAAGCAUCAGGACACCCUUCACCUCAUGAAAAGCCACAGCAGAAGCCAACCAGGCUGUCUGGCCCAGGCAGCUGCCCGGCACUUCGGAGAAACUGAGGCUCAAACCACUCCAGAGAUGACAAGUCCUGUCACCUUCAGGGAGGCGGAGGCCAAAGACAAAACUUGAAGGAAGAAAGAAGAUACUUGGACUCCAGGAAAUGAUCACCGUGGAAACCCAUCUGCUGCUUCUUGUCUACGGCUGUUUGUUCCUCCAGCUCUGGGCUGCCUGAGUGUCUCACAGCAGAAUUAGCAAGUGCGGAGGCUGAAGGUUUCUAGAGGCUCUGAGGUCACAGCUCUCGCUUGAGUGCACAUAACUAUAAGCCAUGAUGAGGAAACUGAGGCUUAGAGAGGUUAAAUGACAUGACCAAAGUGUCAACAGCUAACAGGCAGGAAAGCCAGGACUCAAAUCCGGCAGCCUGUUUCCAGAGUCCACGCUUGGAACCACGGAGCUGUAUUUCUUAACAAAGAAAUCUCACUCUGUCGCCCAGGCUAGAGUGCAAUGGCGCAA
rnacentral:lncRNA from 1 species